AUUCAAUGCUGGCCUGAUCAGACAUCACACGCUCGGGCACACUGAUCUGAUCAGACUGAUGCUUAAAUACACACUCUUAAUGCGAUUAUAAGGAGUGCCGAUGGUAUAGAUCAUAGUGUAGUGUGGCUCACGUUAGUUAAUAAUUCCAUGACUUCUGUUGACUUGCGCGUCCAGGUAUAUCUUUGAUGGCUUGCUAAAUAUUCCCAUGACAGUGUUACUGUUCAGCUUGGUUUUGAGCACACCUUCAUGUUUAUCAAACCCAUAUAACUUUCUUUCUUCACUGGAAAACAAAAGGAGAUGUGACUGAAUCUGUCAUUGUGCCUAACAACUCACUUUCAUUGAAUGGAAAUCAGGUUCAUUGAAAGGUGACUGAAGCUGGCAGUUGCUAACAUUCUGCCUAACAUCUCCUUUCUUCUGUGUUCACUAAUAGGAACGAAUACAGGUUUGGAUCAAAAUGAGGGUGAUGACAGAUUAUUUAGGUUUUGGUGAACUAUACAUUUAAUUUUUCCGUUUGGCACUGACUUGCCUGACUGUGUAAUGAACAACUAAAGUAUGUUGUGCAGUCGAGUAUGUAGUUUAGUUGGCAUGUGUACAACUGGGAUGAGAGAGUUUUAAGACGAGUUUCAAGCAAUUUCCACUGAGAUCUCAAGCAUAUGGUCUGUGUGAUCACACCCCUUUGUGUAAGGCCAAGAUAAUAGUGCUUAUAACGAUAAUGAUGAACCUGGUUAAAGCUAAAGAACUGUGCACAUCUUCUUUACCAAGUGAGACCUUUCAGUUUGCUAGUUAAAAUGCUUUAUUUACUUCAAAUUUUCUUGUUCUCACAUGUGCCUUAUUCGAACAGGAAUUGGUUUUACGCUUGUGUCUUUAAGUUGUUUUAUGAUCAAAUUCUUCUGAAGCCGCUGUGCAGAUUAUGGCUAUUGCAUCAAUUUUCCACACUUACACACACCAUUCCUAAGACAUGAGUCAGCUUACCCAUAUUUGUGCUGACAAAAUGCAUACCCUCAUGGUUUGUUGGCCAAAUUAUUCUGAAUUCUAGAGGAAGUUUAGAACAGUGAGACAAAAAUGACACAUGUGGCUUCCAUCUGCUUUUCAUAUGUGAGUGUUUGUGCACGGUUAAGCAUUUAAUUAACCUUUCGACAGAUAAAAUGACUGACAGGCCAAAUAGCAUCAUCUGUCUCAAUGUUUUUUCUUCCGCGAUCGCUGUUUCGACUCAGAAGAAGCUCAUUCGCUGCUUACAUGUCACUCAUUGCAUGUUCACCCUCCCUGUCUCUUUCGAUGACGAGCUUCCAUUACACUUCCACGUUGUGUUCUUUACACAGCAAACCCAGAGAAACAUGAAGCUAAUUAACACACUAUGAGGUAUACUAUAAUAUCCUAUUAUAGUAUAUUCAUUAUUUUCAUAACAAUAAAGAAUGUUUACAUGAGAAAUGCUAAGCGAUUAGCUUAAUAUAAAAGGCUACAAAUAAGUUAUUUCGACAACAUUAUAUGAUUAAAAUCCACAUAAGAUCGCAAUCAUAAAUUUAGUUAUUACAAACACUUUGACCCUGGUGUGGGUGUGUGGCCCAGUUAGAAGUCAUCCUAGUGGUUAAAGAUUUAGGUUAGUAAACAAAAGAUUGCACUGACUAUUGUGCAGUUGCUGUCCCUGCAGCUUAAAAUUGCAACAUUACCUGAAAGUAGUGGAAACAAAUUUCACAGUUCUCAAUUGUUUGUUGGUCUACAAUUGUGUUCUAUUCUCUGUUCUAUUUUAUUUAUUUCUCUUGACAUUUGUAACAAUACUCAAAGUCUUCAUACUUUCAGAAGUUAUGAUGAAAGAUGUUAUAUUCAUCAGACUCGGGUGUUGUUGUUGAAACUCUUCCCAUCUAAUUCAUUUUUCUUCCCUAAAUAGCCUAAAUUCUCCUUUGAAAUGUGAUACUUUUAAAUUUAAAGUGCUCGCCUAAAGGAGGCGGAGGCGAAGAUAAGACAUUGUCAAAACCCCUUACAGUCCUAAGCAGUGAUUUUCCACAACUGAUGAGUUGUGACAAGUGUUGUUGUGUCUGCUAAUAGGCCACUGUCUUCCCAGCUUUCCUAUAGUAUUUUUAGCUUUCUCCUACCUACAGAGUGAGCCACCGCCUGCCAUUAGCCCAAAUCUAAAGCUACUGUACUUGAUUAGCGUAUAAUAAUUAGCAUAUGCGUGUAAUCAGUAUUAUUGUGUGUCUCUGAGUCUGCGGUGACCCUACUUUGCAUAAGGGAACACCCCACAUAUCCCUCUCACGCUAUCGCGCUCUCGCUCUAGCCCUCAAGACAGCGAGAAAGAGAGGAGCUGUCAACUUUUGAUUUGCUUCUGAAGUAGCCCAAUCGCAACAAUGAGAGGAGAUAAAGAGAUUCUGUUUGUAUUUGUCAUAGUAACACUGCCUGUGUUGAUUACAUGCUUUUGCAUGCCAAGGGCACCAUAUUUCUUUGACGCUCUUCCGCACCAUCAAUGCACGCUUUCUCUCUUUCGCUUGGUGGCCAACCAUUAUCCUUUCCAUCGUCAUAUCCCACAUCCAAUAGAUGAUCCUGGCAUGGUAAGUGAGAGAAAGAAGCCAAGCCAUAUUUGUGUGACUUGGAUAGGGAGCGAGAAGCUUCUUAAUCCCUUCUUUUAAAGUGGAACGUGUGAAUGACUGUGGGGGUGCAGACCUCGUCUUAACCCCCUGCCAAACCCACCCCCCACUGGAUGGCACAAAACAUGCCCAUCCCCCAUCACCUGCUCCUCAUGGUCUCAUCUCGGGACGGGCAUAUCUCUUCCUCACUUUGAAUAGUGACAGAUUCUUAAAGUUCUGGUGUCUUGUUUUAAGUUAAACUUAAAGGUAGAAUUUAUUUACCCUCAUGUCAUUCCAAUCUGAUUAUCAAACUGACAGAAUGCAAAAAGUGAAUAUUUUCAACAUAAUGAAUCCGGAGCAUGGCAUGUUCAUGUGAGCAGUGUCCAAAUUAUGGACAUAUCUUGUUGUGUGUGAGUACAAUCUUUGUCCUUAGACAAUCGAUUCAGUUCACAAAACCAAAACUGAAUGAUUUGUUUGUGAACUGACUGACAAAAGCUAACCUAAAUUUUGUUUGUUCCUAUAAUGCUGUCAUAUAACUUUAGAAGACAUAAAAAUGUACCACACAAGUUGGAUGCACAACAUUCACGAUACUUUCAUUGUGUUUUUGCAUCCUCUUUAAAGCCUCCAUUGCCAUUCUUAUAGCUGGAAAGUGCAACCAAUACAAUUCUUCAGAAUCUGUCCUUUUGUGUUAAAGAAAGAAAGUUAGUCAGGAUUGAAAUGACAUUAGAGUGCGUAAAUGAUGACAAUUUAAAUUUUUGGGAGAAUUGUUCCUUCAGGAGAUUUUAAUGCAAUAACACAAAGCAGUUAUAUAGUUCUGUUCAAAAGAAUACAUUUUGUUCAUUUGUUCGUUCAUUCAUUCAGGGUCUUUUGAACUUUCUUUUCAUUAAAUAAUUCUAAAAUUAAGCACUGUUUUCACAAACAUAUUAAUCAGCAAAGCUGUUUUUAACAUUGAUAAUAAUACAAAAUGUUUUUGAGCACCAAAUCAGCAUGUUAAAAUCAAACCUGCAACUUACUCCAGUAAUUUAAAAUUCAGCUUUCCACAAUUUAUUUUUCACAGGAAUAAUUUAUUUUUCACAGGAAUAAAUUCUGUUUUAAAAUAUAUUCAGAUAGAAGACAGUUGUUUUAAAUUGUAAUAAUAUUCCACAAUAAUACUGUUUUAUUGCAUUCUUGAUCAAAUAAAUGCAGCCUUGGUAUGCAAAAGACACUUCUUUCAAAAACAUUAAAAAAAAUCUUACAGACCCCAAACAUUUAAAAGGUAGUGUAGCUUUUCUGUUUCUGCCUGAUAUUUGAAUUUGUCAUACUUCUUUUUGCUCAUGAGAUAGGACAGGUCAAAUAGAGAACAGUUGCUUUGUAUCAUAAUUUGAAAAAAAGUCUCUUUAGUACUUUAAGCAGCUGAACAUGGACUACAUUGCCUCUAAUCUUUCACUUUAUGGUUUAUGCAAAUUUGCAAAAGUGACAUAUUCACUUGGUCUUGAAAUAGGUCAGUUUUUUUGGGUUUGUCAGACAGUUUGAGCUCAUAUUCACAUGACAGCACAUCAUACGCAUGGACUCUCUGGUAAUGACUUACUGUGGUAGAAGUUCUGUUUGUUGGCUUUUAUUCAUAUAACUUCAUAUCAGAUUGUGACAGUCUCACCAUGACUUUAACUCUUUGUUUGUGGCCACCUUGUUUACAGUGCUAAAGUUGAGUGACAUGAGACCACUGACUCUGCAUGAAAACCACCAGAUGGAGGACUUUGGGAUUCAAUGUUGUUUACAGACAGGAGAAUCCUCAGCCCCCCUUCUGCGUUUUUGUAUACAACACUCUCUUUCCCUACCCAUCUUUCACUCCCUUUCUCCCCUCUUCACCUCCUCCUCCUUGUCAUCCCCCUUUCAUUCUCUUUUCCAAUUUCCAAAAAGCCCUCUCUCUCGCUCUCCCUUUCUGCCAUUACUAAAAAUGGCUUGCUUGCUUGCCUGGUUGUCAAUCCCAGUCAAGUGUAAUCCAAAGUCUGCAGCAUCCUCCCCGACAACUAUUUUAAUGGUAAUGGGCAGCAUAUUGUAUCAAGGCUACCAUAUCCUACUUGAGAUGACAGUAUCAAAAGUGGGAGUUGAUGCUAUGGGAACAAAGACGGGGGCAGCUUUUUGCUAGAGUGAGGGUGUUGGGCGGGUGUGUUUUGCGUGCAUGUGAGAGAGAGAGAGAGAGAGCGACUUGUGUGUAAAACACAGAGGGGGAUGAUGGUGGGACGUGAGUGCUCUCAUUGUCCCUCUGUCCUCUUCUCUUUGGAGCUAUGAUGCAAUGAGAUGGCAUUGUGCUUCCAUUUUUGCUACUUUUAUUUUGAAAAAGAGAGAUCAGGGCGGAGAGAUGAAAUGCUCGCUCUUAAACUUGACUUGAUCCGACUCGCUAAAAGCUAAUGCAUAGCCACUGCAGAGCCCUUACGCAGGGUGAGGUGACCUCUCUCGGCUGUUUUUUCACUGCCCUCUCUCUCCUCCUAAUGAGGAUACACCAUUGUCCCCAGCACACACAUGCAUCUGAAAAAGAGGAGAGAGACCUGGAUUCUGCCAUCUCCUCAUAUCGGCAUAAGCCAUGUGGAAGCUUUUAACAGUGCAGAAGAGUGACUAAAAGAAAGAGCGCUUUUAGUGCAGCUUUCACACAAUUGGCUAUUUUUGGGUGUUGUGCAUUUAACGGACUUGGUCUGUAUUUCUCUCUGUCUCUCUCCGACUUUUUCUUACUCAGUCACUCUGUCCCAUUCAUUCCAGGUUGUUUUGUUUUAUUUUUGACAUUUUUGGGGUGUUUUUGAAUCUAGUUUGUUUGGAUGAGAUGAAUGUGCUGAUAACAUUGAGCAUACCUGUUGAAUCUUGAAGACAGAACCUCUGGGUCAACAUGGCACUGUAAUUUCUUAUCAAAACAUGCCUUUUCCUCUGGUUAAUAGACAUAAUUCUGACCAGUGAAAGGGCAGUUUGCACACAUGCUACUUUUUAUUAACUAAUUUAAGUCCAUUUUGCAGUCCAAACUGAGCCAGGGAGAAAAUGUCAUGACAAUAUAGUCCUGUUUAUUUUUUUUAAUAAACAAAAAUUUAAUUUAGUCAUUAAGUCAUUUCAACUUAAAUUUUAUUAAUGUUACGUAAAACAUCAAUUUGAAUAUCUUAACUUUAAAAACAAAGUUGAAAUUGGUUCAACUGUUUUGAUUAAGUUGAAGUAAUGGAAAAACACAUGUUGACAUGCCUUACUUAUCAUAUAAUUUUUUAAUGUGAAUCUUUUGCAACAUUUAAAAUGUCUUUACUGUCACUUUUGAUCAAUUUAAUGCAUCAAUGCUGAUCUUUUAAAUAUAUUUAAUUUCUUAAAAAAAGAAUAAUUUAUUGACUUAAAAUUCAUCAUUGUAUCUUCUUUGAUAAUUGCAAUUGCAACCAAGGAAUAGGGUCUUAUCUAGUGACACAAUCUGGCAUUUUCUUAAAAAAAAAACUUUUUAAUUUGAUUCAAUGGAUUUUGAACCAUUGAGGUUACACUGUGUCGGGUCUACUGAAGGCAACCAAAUAGAAGUCAAGCGAUCAUCAAAAUGUUGUUUUCUCGCAGUCGCACGCUGCUGGAGUGUGGGUUAAAGAUUAGGGUACACCACCUUUUGCCAUGCCCAUUUCUCUGUCCCAAGUUGCACCCUAAACCCUCGCGGUCUUCCUCUGAGUCCACACUUUCAUGACGUAAUGCCGCUUUGACUGAGCUCAUUUAAUAGAUGACCGUUUAUAGUCAUUUUAAAAUUAAGUAGUCUUUUUACAGGAAUACCAAAAAACAAACAAACACACAAAACAACAACAGUGCAACCCAGACAACUUUGAUAUCUGGUUCCAUAUGAAUUAUAUCCUUCCUUACAAAUGACUACUUUUAAUAUCGUUAUCACAAUAUAAUGUCACUCUACAUUCUUUGUUGAAAUAAAUGGACAUUUAUGAUAACUAUAAAGAUUUUAAAUAUACAAACUAGAGGAAAUCGCACCGGGCAGAAGGAUACCUCUCCUCUAAGCACACAGUGGAGCAGCAGCGUGGUGGGAAUCACUCGACUGUCAGCAACCGUUGUAUUUGGAUCAAAAAUAAACAGGUGGAUGGGGAUAAUGAGAACAAGACAAAACUGACGCAGUUCAACAAAUUUAGUGAGAUGGAGGUGGUUACUCUCAAACCAGUACCAACAGAAUGCCAUCUGUAGCCUUUAACAAAAGAAAUAAUUCCUCAGACCAGACUUCGAUAAACACACGUCAGAAAUCCUCCAAGAAUAGAACAUGUGUACCCUACCAAUUCAGAAUAUGUGCAGGUUUUUCUUCUUGUGAAAUAUUCCAUUCCUUAUGAAUAUGGAAGGAAAUGGCUAUUCAUGGUACCAUUUCCUCAAACACAAAUUCAAAGUGGAGCUGCACCUCUGGUUCUCGAUGAGCAAGGAGAAUGAUGCUGUCUGAAGAAACUCCAGGAUCCUGUCCCAGAUCUAUGUUAGGGGAAUUUGUUGCCAUUGAAGAUCAACUGUCAUUCAAAUGCCUUCGAUGUUCAGUGUUAUGUGUAUUCAGCAGGAGUGUAACGGUACACGUAUUUGUACCAGAAAAUUUUGGGUCUUUCAAAUACAUUGUUUUAACCACUGCAUGAGUGGAACUUCAUUGGAAACAUCCAGUUUUAUAUAUUGUUACUUUUGAUAAGAAACAAAGUCUCAUCUUUCAAAUUACGUUCUUUUUUUUUUUUUUUUUUUAGUAAUAAAUGCCAUUUUGACGCUCUUUGAUGUAGCGCGACAGAUCGCAUUUAAACGCCUCAGUUCAAAUGGCAGCACGAUCAUUCCUUCCUCUUUACUACUAGUUUUAACGCGAAAUAAACAUGAAUUAACAUCUCAUGCCUCGUAAUCACUCAAUCAGUGUUUCAACCUCGGAAAGACGGCAAUAAAACAACUUGUAAACAAAAUGUCACGUAGCAUUUCAUUUACUUCAGGCAAGUCAUCAGUGUCCAUAGCUCAUUAGUGCGCUAUAAAUGAAGUCUAGAGAAGAGCAUUUUGCGAAGUAUUAGACUAUAUACUCAUUAUAUUUUACUUUACCUGUUAGUGAUGUCUUAAUUAUUUAAUGUUUAAAUAAAUCUGUUAUGAAACGAGUUAUGAGAGGCACUGUGCAAAUGAAUAUAUUUUAACAACAAGUAGAUUUUUUAUUAUUUAGAAGUUAAUUUAAAAACUACAUUAUAUGCAUUUUACAUGAUUGCAUACAUUUUUUUUUUUAAGUUGAACGUUGCUUGUUAUAUUAAAAAAAUAAAUAGUAAUUAAAUUUAAGUUUGGGCUCUGUUGUUAACUGUAACCUUAUAGUAGGCCUAAUGUAAAAUGUCUCAUUAUAGUUUAGAGUAUAUGCCGAAGUAGAUUUCUGUCCCUGAGAAAAUUUUAAUUAUAACUGAGUUUGUUCAAGGAAAGAGCAAUUUGUUCAGUAAACCACUGUUUAAUAAAAAAUUAAAUAAAAAAAAUAGAUUUUCCCGCUGCUGUACCGAAACUGUACCACUGUGACAUCAAAACCAAGGUACGUACCGAACCGUCAUGUUUGUGUACCGUUACACCUGAAGUAUUCAGUGAUGUGACCAGAUACCUUGAUCGUCAAAGCCAUAUGAUGUCUGUGUUGUGAGCUUUUAAAUUCUGUGUUAUACGCUUUACAUUUCCAUGUGUUCAGGUUGAACCUGAAUAGAUAAUUAAAUCAGGAGAUGGACUUUCAGGCCCUUGACACAUGCUCUGUUGUUGAUAAAUUGUGAUUCUCAGAAAUGUUUAAAUUGUACAUUUAAUCUAUGUGAUAAAAUGUUUAUGGUAUGAAAGUAACAAAUAAAUAAUAAUACUGUUUUUGGAAAUGUGAAAUUCCUCAAUAUGCAUUCUGCUAUAAUGACGACACAUUUGUGAUACAAUAUUUAAUGCUCAUUCUGUAAAAAUUGUGCACAAAAAUGUAAUAUUUCAAUGUUAAGUAAUAAAUGUGAUGGAAAAGCA